GGCGCGGUAGCAAAGUGGUUACUGUAAGCGAACACUGCUUUCCAAGCUUCCCACGUGACAUCGCUGACAUUCAAUCAGGCGAUUGACUAGAAUGGAUACUGCAUUGUCCAGUAUUGGCUAUCAAUUCCCUUCGGGGUAAGUGACUCUUGCAUUCUCGCAGAAAGACAGUAUACUAACAACCUCUUAGGGCGCAGGUUCGAAUCCUGCCCGCGUCG
rnacentral:tRNA from 1 species